GUUCACGAAUUUAACGGCGAUUGACGGAAGUGUUUGACUCGCGAAAAUUUUCCAAAUAGUUGCGGUGACGACUCACAACAAUAUCUCCAGCAAUGUUAUCAUCCGAGGGUGGACCUCGAAUCGAAUUAAUUUUUUCGGACACGAAGCGGCUAGAUCGUGAUCGCAUGGACAAAAUUAGAUGUUCUCUAUUAGAGUGGCUGACCCGUUACAUUCUCUGAUCAGAAAUACAAGAUAAUACUACUGCUUUUCAAUUCAUACCAUAAAGCUUCUUGUGUCAUCGUUACAUUUCCGUAAAGAAUCACACGCAACAAGAAGCCACGGUGGUCGGCGGCCGUCAUUGAUCUCCUGUUAGAAUCGGAUCACUUCGAUGUAACAAGAUAAAUAGUCAGCGGG